rnacentral:rRNA from 1 species
CACGAACCGUACGAACGUUAUUCGGAAUUACUGGGCUUAAAGGGUUUGUAGCGGCCUUGUAAGUCAGGUGUGAAAGCCCUCGGCUCAACCGAGGAACAGCGCUUGAUACUGCAAGGCUUGAGGGAGACAGGGGUAAGCGGAACUGAUGGUGGAGCGGUGAAAUGCGUUGAUAUCAUCAGGAACACCGGUGGCGAAAGCGGCUUACUGGGUCUCUUCUGACGCUGAGGAACGAAAGCUAGGGUAGCGAACGGGG